rnacentral:rRNA from 1 species
AUACGGAGGAUGCGAGCGUUAUCCGGAUUUAUUGGGUUUAAAGGGAGCGUAGGUGGGAUAUUAAGUCAGCUGUGAAAGUUUGGGGCUCAACCUUAAAAUUGCAGUUGAUACUGGUUUCCUUGAGUACGGUAUAGGUGGGCGGAAUUCGUGGUGUAGCGGUGAAAUGCUUAGAUAUCACGAAGAACUCCGAUCGCGAAGGCAGCUCACCGGGCCGGAACUGACACUGAUGCUCGAAAGUGCGGGUAUCAAACAGGAUUAGAUACCCUGGUAGUCCGCACAGUAAACGAUGAAUACUCGCUGUUUGCGAUACACUGUAAGCGGCUAAGCGAAAGCGUUAAGUAUUCCACCUGGGGAGUACGCCGGCAACGGUGAAACUCAAAGGAAUUGACGGGG